rnacentral:rRNA from 1 species
ACGGCUCAGUAACACGUAGUCAAUCUGCCCUAUGGACGUGGAUAACCUCGGGAAACUGAGAAUAAUCCGCGAUAGAUCAUAAUGCCUGGAACGGUUUAUGGUCCAAAUGAUUCGUCGCCAUAGGAUGGGACUGCGGCCUAUCAGCUUGUUGGUGAGGUAAUGGCCCACCAAGGCUAUUACAGGUACGGGCUCUGAGAGGAGAAGCCCGGAGAUGGGUACUGAGACACGGACCCAGGCCCUAUGGGGCGCAGCAGGCGAGAAACCUUUGCAAUGUGCGCAAGCACGACAAGGUUAAUCCGAGUGUUUCUUGCUAAAGGAAUCUUUUGUUAGUUCUAAAACCACUGAUGAAUAAGGGGUGGGCAAGUUCUGGUGUCAGCCGCCGCGGUAAAACCAGCACCUCAAGUGGUCAGGAGGAUUAUUGGGCCUAAAGCAUCCGUAGCCGGUUCUGUAAGUUUCCGGUUAAAUCCACUAGCUCAACUAAUGGGCUGCCGGAAAUACUGCAGAACUAGGGAGUGGGAGAGGUAGACGGUACUCGGGAGGAAGGGGUAAAAUCCUUUGAUCUCUUGAUGACCACCUGUGGCGAAGGCGGUCUACCAGAACACGUUCGACGGUGAGGGAUGAAAGCUGGGGGAGCAAACCGGAUUAGAUACCCGGGUAGUCCCAGCUGUAAACGAUGCAGACUCGGUGAUGCACUGGCUUUUGGCCAGUGCAGUGCCGCAGGGAAGCCGUUAAGUUUGCCGCCUGGGAAGUACGUACGCAAGUAUGAAACUUAAAGGAAUUGGCGGGGGAGCAC